rnacentral:rRNA from 1 species
GACGAACGCUGGCGGCGUGCUUAACACAUGCAAGUCGAACCGAAAGGCCCUGCUUUUGUGGGGUGCUCGAGUGGCGAACGGGUGAGUAACACGUGAGUAACCUGCCCUUGACUUUGGGAUAACUUCAGGAAACUGGGGCUAAUACCGGAUAGGAGCUCCUGCUGCAUGGUGGGGGUUGGAAAGUUUCGGCGGUUGGGGAUGGACUCGCGGCUUAUCAGCUUGUUGGUGGGGUAGUGGCUGACCAAGGCUUUGACGGGUAGCCGGCCUGAGAGGGUGACCGGCCACAUUGGGACUGCGAUACGGCCCAGACUCCUACGGGAGGCAGCAGUGGGGAAUAUUGCACAAUGGGCGGAAGCCUGAUGCAGCAACGCCGCGUGCGGGAUGACGGCCUUCGGGUUGUAAACCGCUUUCGCCUGUGACGAAGCGUGAGUGACGGUAAUGGGUAAAGAAGCACCGGCUAACUACGUG